rnacentral:rRNA from 1 species
AUGAACGCUAGCGGCAGGCUAACACAUGCAAGUCGAGGGGCAGCAUACCCAGCAAUGGGUGAUGGCGACCGGCGGAAGGGUGCGUAACGCGUGAGCAACAUACCCUAGUACAGGGGGAUAAGCCAGGGAAACUUGGUCUAAUAUCCCAUAGGAAAUAGAUAAGGCAUCUUAUUUAUUUUAAAGCUUCGGUGGUAUAGGAUUGGCUCGCGUGACAUUAGCUAGAUGGAGGGGUAACGGCCCACCAUGGCAAUGAUGUCUAGGGGUUCUGAGAGGAAGAUCCCCCACACUGGGACUGAGACACGGCCCAGACUCCUACGGGGGCAGCAGUGAGGAAUAUUGGACAAUGGAUGGAAAUCUGAUCCAGCCAUGCCGCGUGCAGGAAGACGGCCCCUAUGGGUUGUAAACUGCUUUUAUACGGGAGCAAUAAGGUCUAUGCAUAGAUUGAUGAGAGUACCGUAUGAAUAAGCAUCGGCUAACUCCGUGCCAGCAGCUGC